GAUGAACGCUGGCGGCGUGCUUAACACAUGCAAGUCGAACGGAAAGGCCCAAGCUUGCUUGGGUACUCGAGUGGCGAACGGGUGAGUAACACGUGGGUGAUCUGCCCUGCACUUCGGGAUAAGCCUGGGAAACUGGGUCUAAUACCGGAUAGGACCACAUUUUGGAUGGUGUGGUGGAAAGUUUUUCGGUGUGGGAUGAGCUCGCGGCCUAUCAGCUUGUUGGUGGGGUAAUGGCCUACCAAGGCGUCGACGGGUAGCCGGCCUGAGAGGGUGUACGGCCACAUUGGGACUGAGAUACGGCCCAGACUCCUACGGGAGGCAGCAGGGGGGAAUAUUGCACAAUGGGCGCAAGCCUGAUGCAGCGACGCCGCGGGGGGGAUGACGGCCUUCGGGUUGUAAACUCCUUUCGCUAGGGACGAAGCGUUAUGUGACGGUACCUGGAGAAGAAGCACCGGCUAACUACGUG
rnacentral:rRNA from 1 species